rnacentral:sRNA from 1 species
CCUAUAAAUUAGAUUGACAAAAGUCAGAUCAAUAAGAGAAAAACAGAAUUUAUUAACAUGUACAUGGUACAUACACAUGGGACCACUCAGUGAUGAGUGACUUAAAGGGGUGCUUAGAACAUGGGCUUAUAUAUCAUCUUAACAACAGAACAAUUAAAUUGUAGAGAGGUGAUAAGACAAAGGAAAAGGACUUUUCAUUCAUAGGGUGGCAAAUGCUGCCAAGGUAAAUAUAUAAGGAAAGGAAUGGAAGAUAAGAGCUUGUCAGCAAAGCUUGUUGUGUAGAUGCCUGUGGUGCCUUUGUCAGGCUGAUAAGCAUCCAAAAUUGUCUCUGGUAAUCAGAGACAUCACUUUCUGGUAGAGAGGGGAGGGAGGACAAAUUUAUGUCCCGUUUUUAGGUAAAUAGGAAGGGAUCGAGAGCUUUUCUUGUAUCUACUUUUUUUCGGUUGUCUCAGCUCCAAAUAAUCCUUAUGCCAGAGUGAUAUAUUCUGAUACCCUUUUGUAGCCUCCUGGCUAUGUGUUUCUUGAAGCUGAAAGCAGUCACGGCUUCGUUGAAUUCUGGCCUCUACCACUUUCUCCCUCUCCUUAUAAUCAUCAACCUUCUGAACCAUAAAAUCCUUGGGGCAGCUUUUUAAAUUUCAUUUUAUUUGUGUCUUGUGUUUCUUACAUUACCUGCCACAUAGCUGGAUAUAUAGUAGGUUUUUAAAAAGCAGUAAGUAUUAUGACUACUGUGAAUAUGAUCAAAAAGCAAUAUCAUUGAGUGUGUACUGUGUUCCAUGUGCUAUGUUAGCCAUUUUACACAUGCAUUCUUUCUAAUUUCAUUGCUAUUUUUGGCUCAGUUAUUUAUUUAUUUGAAGUGACAUAUCAUAAUAAGCAACUUUCCAGAAUUCACACGGUCAACAAGUUAAUGUAAUUUAAUUUCAUUCUUUCCACUUUACCCAUCUGCCAGAUGAAUAAUUUGCUAUACUGUAUGUAGUUCUCCACCUCUAUGUGACCAAAUGUACAUAAAAAGAUAGUAACCUGGAAGGAUGAACAUUUAAUCUCUAGUUAUCUUGACAGCUUGGAAUUGUAGGCCAAUUAUCAUGUUUAUAGGUGUCUAUAACUUCUCCAAAGAUGGAAUUCUGUCAGGUGCAAUAGUGCAAGCCUGUAGUCCCAGCUACUUGGGAGGCUGAGGUAGGAGGAUGACUUGAGGCCAGGAGUUUGAGACCAGCCUGGAAAAAAUAGCAAGACUGUCUCUAAAAAUAAUAAUAAUAAUAAGAUGGGGUGCACAUUAAAUUUUGACCAGCCCUAGUGGCUUUGUUUUGUACAACUUAGUUCUGCACAUUUUAGCUCUUAAGUUUCUUGGAACCAGAGCUACUACAAGCAGAAAACUUCAAAGCUAAGCAUUUACUCCAUGGUGAUUUCCUAGCCAACUUGUUAAACUCAAAUGUGGUCCUUUGAUGUUUACCCUAGACUUGCUGGUUUUUAUGUAAAUGAUCCAAUGAAUUCUUCCACCAUUUAAUACCUUUAUUUUUCCUCUUUCAACUGAGGUCUUGGUGUGAUUAUCAUCGGCUUAGCCGUGACAGUGACUGGUAUCACUGGUUUAUCCACCUCUGCUAUUGCCACAAAUGGAUGUGUCAGAGGAGGUAAUUAAACUUGUGACCCGCACCAUCAUUUGUAAGGUAAAGGCAACACAGGCUCUAACAGUUCACCACUGACCUUUCUGGAGUGUUUUCAAAGGUAAUGCAAGUUGGUUUCUUUUCCCCCAUCAGGCAAAGAGAUGCAAGAAAAAUGGGGAAGGAUUUAACCUUUGUCAAACCCCCAAGUUUCUCAUUCCAGUUCCUUCAAGCAAGAAAGGUCAAAUGUCAUGUUUUCUCUUUUCACAGCCAGGAUAGUUUCUCUCCCAGGACACCAGCAUAAGUCAACUUUUCCUUUCCAAGUCUGCACUUUCGAUUGUGUUUACUUUUGGAAACCAUCGUUCAUCAUAAUGAGCAGUUCUCUGACUUGGUCUUUACGCCAGGCAAACCAGUUUCUCCUUAGCACAAAGAAACCCCGUUGGAGCCCGAGGCAUGGACCUGAAAACUUAAGUUAAAGGCAGUGUAGUUUGCAGCAAUAGGGAAUCCAAGGAAGAAAAGUAAAAUGCAAUAUCUUCUAUCUUUCAUUGCUAACAGGUCUUGGAGUUCUCAUAAUUCUUCUUUCCACCAUGGUAACUUCUAUUACUGGGUUGUCAACUUCUGCGAUAGCAACUAACGGGUUUGUUCGUGGAGGUAAAAUCUCUAAGAUAUCUAAUGCCCUCAUCACUUGCUACGGGUAGGCGAACAAUUUUUUAUACUUCUUUUUGAUGGGAACAAGGAAGUAGCCCAAUGUUCUUGAAGCCUGGCUAUUUGGAGGAGCUGGAUGCCAAAGAAAACCUAAGGUAUGAUGAGAAUAGUCCAGGUCUACUCUGGUCUCUUUUCUAAUGGAUCUCUCUGGCACAUUGUAGGUUAUGCCUUACAGAUGUGCACCUUCCUUAGGUAAACUUUUUCUUUUUCAGGCUAGUCUGCACACCUCUAGCUGAUGUUCCUUGGAAACUGAUUCCAGAUUUGGCUUCUGUUUAAACGUUUAGUACAUUUCAGGUGCUUCCUAGACCUUCAUGAAAUGGGAUCUUUUAGAACAUUUCAGGUUUUCACAGGGAGGUGGAUCUUUCUGUGACAAGAUUCAGACUGCUGCCUCCUGAAGUACUGGUGACUUCUCUCAGUACUGGAACCAAACACCUUUCUUGGGGGAUUUUGCAGGUCUUGGAGUCAUCAUCAUUGGCCUAAGUGUGGUAGUAACGACACUCACAGGUAUUUCUAUGUCUGCUAUUUGCACGAAUGGAGUAGUAAGAGGAGGUAAGCCAAUUAAUUUACUUAUGACUAGAGGCUUGGUUACUAGUAAUGUCUGGAGUUAGUUUACUAUUGGAAGUGAAAGUAACAUAUUGCUAAUUAGUCCCCAGUGUCCUAAACAAAAUAACCCAAAAUUUAAACAGCAAAGCAAAAUUUUUCUCAACUAAAAUUGGAAUAUCUUCAUUGACAUGACCCAUUUCUUGUAACAAAACAUGUUUAUAAAGUGGAGAGUGACUAUGUGUCUAGUAAGAAGGUAUGGAAUAUUAUAGCAAAAUAUAUGGUUUCUUUGUACCUUGGACGCUCUCUCGCAGGUCCUCUCAGCAUGGGUCUUCUCCAAUGCCCCAGAUGGCAUUGCUGAUGAUUGCCACUCAGUAAACCACUCCUGCACCCAGGCCUCGGGGCUCACCCCAAACGCUGUGCUCCCAAUGACCAACAGGCAAGGGAAGAUCAUUAGAAGGGAAUAAACAAAUAAAUAAGCAAAGAGUUACUUUCAAAUAAUCUAGGAGUAGGCAAGCCUAGACAGAAAGUGAAAUGGAUGAAAUGUAUUGUUGUUCUAUCUUCCUUUGUUCCCCCUCCCCUUCCCCUUUGGUUUCUCUGGUUCUCUACUUGGGCACCUUAUCCAGGUCUUCCUACUUAGGGCCUUCUAAAACAUCCUGCCCACAACACACUUCCACUCUCAACUUCUGCCUGUCUCUCAUGUUGAUCCAGCCCACCUAGGUAACUGACUAGCUCAUUUGUUUAAGGUGAUCUGUAUAAAGGAAAUAAUGGGGAUUUGCUCCACCCAGACAAUAUGCUACAUUUUUAGAGAGGACUUUGACCCCUGAGCCCAAAAGAGUUACUAUAGUGAAAGAAAUUUCUCUCAGCAAAAAGUAAUUUUGUUUUGUCUUUAGGUAUGUUGGUUUGUCAUUGCUGUGCCAACUCUGCCUACCUCCAAAGCCAGCUCUGUAUAGGAAGUCAUAAUCUUACUAUGGUCUGUGAUAAUCAGACCUCCUAACAUCUAGUGCUUUUCACCUUCAAUAAGCUGCCCUAGGUACCCUUUUGGCAUUUGACCAAUCUAGUUCAAUCCUUCAUAUGCACAGAAGUAUGCAACUAUAUAUAUUUAAUAGAACUAUUUUUUCAAUGUCCAAGGGAGAAGUAAUUGUUCCAGACCCUCCCCACUUUUCUUCCCACUUGCAACUCCCAAACACUGUGCUUUCAGUGGCCAACAGGCAAGGGACCUACUUGUCACACCCAUACAUAUAUGGGUAUUUAGGAAUAAUCGUGCCUUCUUGAGCUAAAAACAUAGAAAACCAAGUUUGAUUUAUAGAAUGAAUAAUACAUCACACUCUAUAGAUAUCUUGUUUUAUGCAGCACAUAUAUAUCAGAAAAUUUUACGUAUGUACCUAUAUAUGUUUUGUAUAUAUAUGUUUAUAUAUAUAUAUCAUGCCUUCUUUCACUAAAAACAUAGAAAACCAAGUUUGAUUUAAAGAAUGGAUAAUACAGAUAUCUUAUUUUAUGCAGCACAUAUAUAUUAGGAAAUUGUAUAUAUGUACAUAUAUCUAUAUAUGUGUAAAUAUAUAUUUUACAUAUAUACACAACAGAAAGGAAGUUAGAAAAACAAAGAUAAACUUCAACUACUUCAUUUUCUACCUAGACUUUCCUACUCCUGGAAAUUUUUUAUAUAAAAUUUUACUUCAGUUGCAUUAUUAAUUUGAAUACUCCAAUGAUAUUUUUAUAAAGACAACGCAUUUUUUGUAAAGUUUGCUGUGUUCUUUUUUGUAGCUUUUUUACAUUUAUGUUUUAAUAGAGUGGGCUUUAUUAAGUCAGGAUACUUCUAUUGUAGAUUAAGUACAGAGUACCAAGAAGGGCUAAAGUUAUUCACUGGGUAACACAGGAUUCCUAAAAUUACUGGGAAGUUGUAAUACUGUUAUUGAAAUAAUUCACACUGUAAAUGUUCUCAGAUAGUCACAAUCAUUUGGUCAUAUAAACUAGCAGUUCCUCAAUGUAAAGUAUGUUCAUUUCUUGUUUCAGGUGGUGCCUACUAUCUUAUUUCCAGAAGUUUAGGGCCCGAGUUCGGUGGGUCAAUAGGCCUGAUCUUUGCUUUUGCUAAUGCAGUGGCUGUUGCUAUGUAUGUGGUGGGAUUUGCUGAGACUGUAGUAGAUCUUCUUAAGGAGAGUGAUUCGAUGAUGGUGGAUCCAACCAAUGACAUCCGGAUUAUAGGCUCCAUCACAGUGGUGAUUCUUCUAGGAAUUUCAGUAGCUGGAAUGGAAUGGGAGGCAAAGGCCCAAGUCAUUCUUCUGGUCAUUCUUCUAAUUGCUAUUGCAAACUUCUUCAUUGGAACUGUCAUUCCAUCCAACAAUGAGAAAAAGUCCAGAGGUUUCUUUAAUUACCAAGCAUCAAUAUUUGCAGAAAACUUUGGGCCAUGCUUCACAAAGGGUGAAGGCUUCUUCUCUGUCUUUGCCAUUUUUUUCCCAGCAGCUACUGGGAUUCUUGCUGGUGCCAAUAUCUCAGGAGAUUUGGAGGAUCCCCAAGAUGCCAUCCCCAGAGGAACCAUGCUGGCCAUUUUCAUCACCACUGUUGCCUACUUAGGGGUUGCAAUUUGUGUAGGGGCCUGUGUGGUCCGAGAUGCCACCGGGAACAUGAAUGACACCAUCAUUUCUGGGAUGAACUGCAAUGGUUCAGCAGCAUGUGGGUUGGGCUAUGACUUCUCAAGAUGUCGACAUGAACCAUGUCAGUACGGGCUGAUGAACAAUUUCCAGGUCAUGAGCAUGGUAUCAGGGUUUGGCCCCCUCAUCACUGCGGGAAUCUUUUCUGCAACACUCUCCUCCGCCCUGGCCUCCCUUGUCAGCGCACCCAAAGUGUUCCAGGCUCUGUGCAAGGACAACAUCUACAAAGCCCUGCAGUUUUUUGCAAAGGGAUACGGGAAAAACAAUGAACCCCUGAGAGGAUAUAUUCUCACUUUUCUUAUAGCCAUGGCAUUUAUUCUUAUUGCGGAACUGAACACCAUUGCUCCCAUCAUCUCCAACUUUUUCCUGGCCUCAUAUGCACUUAUUAAUUUCUCCUGCUUCCAUGCCUCUUAUGCCAAGUCUCCAGGAUGGAGACCUGCAUAUGGAAUUUACAACAUGUGGGUAUCUCUUUUUGGAGCUGUUUUGUGCUGUGCAGUCAUGUUUGUCAUCAACUGGUGGGCAGCUGUCAUCACCUAUGUCAUUGAAUUCUUCCUUUACGUCUAUGUGACUUAUAAGAAGCCAGAUGUGAACUGGGGCUCCUCCACACAGGCUCUUUCCUAUGUGAGUGCUUUAGACAAUGCUCUGGAAUUAACCACAGUGGAAGACCACGUAAAAAACUUCAGGCCCCAGUGCAUUGUCUUAACAGGGGGACCCAUGACAAGACCUGCUCUCCUGGACAUAACUCACGCCUUUACCAAGAACAGUGGCCUUUGCAUCUGCUGUGAAGUCUUUGUGGGACCGCGCAAACUGUGUGUUAAGGAGAUGAACAGUGGCAUGGUGAAAAAACAGGCCUGGCUUAUGAAGAACAAAAUCAAGGCUUUUUAUGCUGCAGUGGCGGCAGACUGUUUCAGGGAUGGUGUCCGAAGUCUUCUUCAGGCCUCAGGCUUAGGAAGAAUGAAACCAAACACUCUGGUGAUUGGAUAUAAGAAAAACUGGAGGAAAGCUCCCUUGACAGAGAUUGAGAACUACGUGGGAAUCAUACAUGAUGCAUUUGAUUUUGAGAUUGGCGUGGUUAUAGUCAGAAUCAGCCAAGGAUUUGACAUCUCUCAGGUUCUUCAGGUGCAAGAGGAAUUAGAGAGAUUAGAACAGGAGAGACUAGCAUUGGAAGCAACUAUCAAAGAUACUGAGUGUGAAGAGGAAAGUGGAGGCAUCCGAGGCUUGUUUAAAAAAGCUGGCAAGUUGAACAUUACUAAGACAACGCCUAAAAAAGAUGGCAGCAUUAACACAAGCCAGUCGAUGCAUGUGGGAGAGUUCAACCAGAAACUGGUGGAAGCCAGCACUCAAUUUAAAAAGAAACAAGAAAAAGGCACAAUUGAUGUUUGGUGGUUGUUUGAUGAUGGAGGGUUAACACUUCUUAUCCCCUAUAUCUUGACUCUCAGAAAAAAAUGGAAAGACUGUAAAUUAAGAAUCUAUGUGGGAGGGAAGAUCAACCGCAUUGAAGAAGAAAAAAUUGCAAUGGCUUCCCUUCUGAGCAAAUUUAGGAUAAAAUUUGCAGACAUCCAUAUCAUCGGUGACAUCAACAUUAGGCCAAACAAAGAGAGCUGGAAAGUCUUUGAAGAGAUGAUUGAACCAUAUCGUCUCCAUGAAAGCUGCAAAGAUUUAACAACUGCUGAGAAAUUAAAAAGAGAAACUCCGUGGAAAAUUACAGAUGCAGAACUGGAAGCAGUCAAGGAAAAGAGUUACCGCCAAGUUCGACUGAAUGAACUCUUACAGGAGCACUCCAGAGCUGCUAAUCUCAUUGUCCUGAGCCUUCCCGUGGCAAGAAAGGGAUCCAUAUCGGAUUUGUUGUAUAUGGCUUGGUUGGAAAUCCUCACAAAGAACCUCCCACCUGUCUUACUAGUUAGAGGAAAUCACAAAAAUGUCUUGACAUUUUACUCUUAAAACAUGAAAGAUUGGAAUACAUUUUAACUUAAUGUAAUGCAUAAUUAAGAAACAUGUUCCAGUACUUUAUGUUGUAAAUCUGAUCUAUGGAUAUGCAAACCUCUGGAGAUGAUCCUACCAGAUUCUACAUACAUUGCAUAAUUUUUAUCAGUUAAUGCGAGCUUUUUUUUCUCUUCUCAGCUUAAGGGGUUGUCAAAGCCAAUGUUAUCCCUAGAAAAACAUUUUUGUCACUGCUGUUGAUAAACAAGAAAAUCAAGGAAACUCAUGUUGGCUUAUGUUCAUAAAAACCACGAAUGUGAUUGUAAACUUCUCCAGACAAACUUAACCUUUUGUUUCUUAAUUUUUUGUUUUGAGUGUUUGCUUCUCAGCCCUGGUAUAGGUCUCAGCCCCACAGCAGGAUCUCAAUAAAUGCUUAUUGACAGGCUGGCAUAGUAACCACGGGUGGUUAUCAAAGGAAAAGACCAAUAGGCUGGGGAACAUAAUUAUGCUUGGCCCCCUCAGAGGCUUAUACCUACAAAGCAGAUUUAAAAAUCAGUAACUCAAAACUUUAAGAAGUAGUUGAGUCUACAAAAUAUUCAAAGCAGUUACCUAAAUAAGGUUAUUUAAUGUAACAGAUUAUAUACUUAAAGUGAUCUGAGCAAUCAUUGAUAACAUAUGGCUUAAAUUUGCUGCUGCCUGAAAAGUAUAUUAACUAGAUUAGAAGACACCAUAUACUCCAAUAAAAUGAAAUAUAUUCUAUUCUCAAUAUAUAAACUUUAAUUGUACUCCCUAUCAAAUAUUUUGAAAUUUCCAUCACGGCAUUACUUUGCAUAUUUUUUUCUAAUUAAAUGGUUAGUACAGAUGAAAUCUUUAUAGAUGACUACUUGAAAACUAAGUGCUACAAAUUUUCAAACCAUUAUUAAGAAAUAUAUCCUGAAUCAUAUAUUUAGUUACUUUCUAUAGUGAUUGUAUGGAUUUAAAAGAAUAAUUAAAAUGUGAAGUUGAAAAACUUGUAAAAUUUGGAAUAUACAGAUACUGAUUUUUUUCAUUUUUGUUAGUAUACCUAUAAUACAUAAUCACAUUGACAAACCAAUGAAAAUAUUGUUUUUCUGAUGAAUGGCUUGAUUUUUCUCCUUGACAUGUUUUGACUGUUCAUUCUAACUGAAAACAUAUAUGGGAAAAUAUGAACCUGAAAUAAAAGCACUCAAAUUCAA